UACGUAGGGGGCAAGCGUUGUCCGGAAUCAUUGGGCGUAAAGAGCGUGUAGGCGGUCCGGUCAGUCGGUUGUGAAAGUCAAGGGCUCAACCCUUGAAUGCCGGCCGAUACUGCCGGGCUAGAGUCCGGAAGAGGUGAGUGGAAUUCCUGGUGUAGCGGUGAAAUGCGCAGAUAUCAGGAGGAACACCGAUGGCGAAGGCAGCUCACUGGGACGGUACUGACGCUGAGACGCGAAAGCGUGGGGAGCGAACAGG
rnacentral:rRNA from 1 species